rnacentral:rRNA from 1 species
AUGAACGCUAGCUACAGGCUUAACACAUGCAAGUCGAGGGGCAUCAGGAAGAAAGCUUGCUUUCUUUGCUGGCGACCGGCGCACGGGUGAGUAACACGUAUCCAACCUGCCCUUUACUCGGGGAUAGCCUUUCGAAAGAAAGAUUAAUACCCGAUAGCAUAAUGAUUCCGCAUGGUUUCAUUAUUAAAGGAUUCCGGUAAAGGAUGGGGAUGCGUUCCAUUAGGUUGUUGGUGAGGUAACGGCCCACCAAGCCUUCGAUGGAUAGGGGUUCUGAGAGGAAGGUCCCCCACAUUGGAACUGAGACACGGUCCAAACUCCUACGGGAGGCAGCAGUGAGGAAUAUUGGUCAAUGGGCGCUAGCCUGAACCAGCCAAGUAGCGUGAAGGAUGAAGGCUCUAUGGGUCGUAAACUUCUUUUAUAUAAGAAUAAAGUGCAGUAUGUAUACUGUUUUGUAUGUAUUAUAUGAAUAAGGAUCGGCUAACUCCGUGCCAGCAGCCGCGGUAAUACGGAGGAUCCGAGCGUUAUCCGGAUUUAUUGGGUUUAAAGGGAGCGUAGGUGGACUGGUAAGUCAGUUGUGAAAGUUUGCGGCUCAACCGUAAAAUUGCAGUUGAUACUGUCAGUCUUGAGUACAGUAGAGGUGGGCGGAAUUCGUGGUGUAGCGGUGAAAUGCUUAGAUAUCACGAAGAACUCCGAUUGCGAAGGCAGCUCACUGGACUGCAACUGACACUGAUGCUCGAAAGUGUGGGUAUCAAACAGGAUUAGAUACCCUGGUAGUCCACACAGUAAACGAUGAAUACUCGCUGUUUGCGAUAUACAGUAAGCGGCCAAGCGAAAGCAUUAAGUAUUCCACCUGGGGAGUACGCCGGCAACGGUGAAACUCAAAGGAAUUGACGGGGGCCCGCACAAGCGGAGGAACAUGUGGUUUAAUUCGAUGAUACGCGAGGAACCUUACCCGGGCUUAAAUUGCAGUGGAAUGAUGUGGAAACAUGUCAGUGAGCAAUCACCGCUGUGAAGGUGCUGCAUGGUUGUCGUCAGCUCGUGCCGUGAGGUGUCGGCUUAAGUGCCAUAACGAGCGCAACCCUUAUCUUUAGUUACUAACAGGUUAUGCUGAGGACUCUAGAGAGACUGCCGUCGUAAGAUGUGAGGAAGGUGGGGAUGACGUCAAAUCAGCACGGCCCUUACGUCCGGGGCUACACACGUGUUACAAUGGGGGGUACAGAAGGCAGCUAGCGGGUGACCGUAUGCUAAUCCCAAAAUCCUCUCUCAGUUCGGAUCGAAGUCUGCAACCCGACUUCGUGAAGCUGGAUUCGCUAGUAAUCGCGCAUCAGCCACGGCGCGGUGAAUACGUUCCCGGGCCUUGUACACACCGCCCGUCAAGCCAUGGGAGCCGGGGGUACCUGAAGUACGUAACCGCAAGGAUCGUCCUAGGGUAAAACUGGUGACU